UACGUAGGUGGCAAGCAUUGUUCGGAUUUACUAGGCGUAAAGGGAGCGUAGGUGGCUAUGUAAGUUGCAAGUGAAAUUCCACGGCUUAACCGUGGAACUGCUUGCAAAACUGCAUGGCUUGAGUAUAGGAGAGGGAAAUGGAAUUCCUAGUGUAGCGGUGAAAUGCGUAGAUAUUAGGAAGAACACCUGUGGCGAAGGCGAUUUCCUGGCCUAACACUGACGCUGAGGCUCGAAAGCUAGGGGAG
rnacentral:rRNA from 1 species